rnacentral:rRNA from 1 species
UUAAGGCUGAGACACGACGUCGAGCACCUACGGGUGUGAAGUCAUUGAUGCCAUGCUUCCAGGAAAAGCCUCUAAGCUUCAGAUUGUAAGGAAUCGUACCCCAAACCGACACAGGUGGUCGGGUAGAGAAUACCAAGGCGCUUGAGAGAACUCGGGUGAAGGAACUAGGCAAAAUGGUACCGUAACUUCGGGAGAAGGUACGCUCUCGACGGUGAAGUCCCUUGCGGAUGGAGCUAUUGAGAGUCGCAGAUACCAGGUGGCUGCAACUGUUUAUUAAAAACACAGCACUGUGCAAAAUCGUAAGAUGACGUAUACGGUGUGACGCCUGCCCGGUGCCGGAAGGUUAAUUGAUGGGGUUAGACUUCGGUCGAAGCUCUUGAUCGAAGCCCCGGUAAACGGCGGCCGUAACUAUAACGGUCCUAAGGUAGCGAAAUUCCUUGUCGGGUAAGUUCCGACCUGCACGAAUGGCGUAAUGAUGGCCACGCUGUCUCCACCCGAGACUCAGUGAAAUUGAAAUCGCUGUGAAGAUGCAGUGUACCCGCGGCUAGACGGAAAGACCCCGUGAACCUUUACUACAGCUUGGCACUGAACAUUGACCCUACAUGUGUAGGAUAGGUGGGAGGCUUUGAAGCACGUACGCCAGUAUGUGUGGAGCCGUCCUUGAAAUACCACCCUUGUAGUGUUGAUGUUCUAACGUCGACCCCUAAUCGGGGUUGCGGACAGUGCCUGGUGGGUAGUUUGACUGGGGCGGUCUCCUCCCAAAGAGUAACGGAGGAGCACGAAGGUGGGCUAAUCACGGUUGGACAUCGUGAGGUUAGUGCAAUGGCAUAAGC